AUAAUGGGUCAGCGACUUAUAUUCUGUAGCAAGGUUAACCGAAUAGGGGAGCCGAAGGGAAACCGAGUCUUAACUGGGCGUUAAGUUGCAGGGUAUAGACCCGAAACCCGGUGAUCUAGCCAUGGGCAGGUUGAAGGUUGGGUAACACUAACUGGAGGACCGAACCGACUAAUGUUGAAAAAUUAGCGGAUGACUUGUGGCUGGGGGUGAAAGGCCAAUCAAACCGGGAGAUAGCUGGUUCUCCCCGAAAGCUAUUUAGGUAGCGCCUCGUGAAUUCAUCUCCGGGGGUAGAGCACUGUUUCGGCAAGGGGGUCAUCCCGACUUACCAACCCGAUGCAAACUGCGAAUACCGGAGAAUGUUAUCACGGGAGACACACGGCGGGUGCUAACGUCCGUCGUGAAGAGGGAAACAACCCAGACCGCCAGCUAAGGUCCCAAAGUCAUGGUUAAGUGGGAAACGAUGUGGGAAGGCCCAGACAGCCAGGAUGUUGGCUUAGAAGCAGCCAUCAUUUAAAGAAAGCGUAAUAGCUCACUGGUCGAGUCGGCCUGCGCGGAAGAUGUAACGGGGCUAAACCAUGCACCGAAGCUGCGGCAGCGACGCUGAUGCGUUGUUGGGUAGGGGAGCGUUCUGUAAGCCUGUGAAGGUGUGCUGUGAGGCAUGCUGGAGGUAUCAGAAGUGCGAAUGCUGACAUAAGUAACGAUAAAGCGGGUGAAAAGCCCGCUCGCCGGAAGACCAAGGGUUCCUGUCCAACGUUAAUCGGGGCAGGGUGAGUCGACCCCUAAGGCGAGGCCGAAAGGCGUAGUCGAUGGGAAACAGGUUAAUAUUCCUGUACUUGGUGUUACUGCGAAGGGGGGACGGAGAAGGCUAUGUUGGCCGGGCGACGGUUGUCCCGGUUUAAGCGUGUAGGCUGGUUUUCCAGGCAAAUCCGGAAAAUCAAGGCUGAGGCGUGAUGACGAGGCACUACGGUGCUGAAGCAACAAAUGCCCUGCUUCCAGGAAAAGCCUCUAAGCAUCAGGUAACAUCAAAUCGUACCCCAAACCGACACAGGUGGUCAGGUAGAGAAUACCAAGGCGCUUGAGAGAACUCGGGUGAAGGAACUAGGCAAAAUGGUGCCGUAACUUCGGGAGAAGGCACGCUGAUAUGUAGGUGAAGUCCCUCGCGGAUGGAGCUGAAAUCAGUCGAAGAUACCAGCUGGCUGCAACUGUUUAUUAAAAACACAGCACUGUGCAAACACGAAAGUGGACGUAUACGGUGUGACGCCUGCCCGGUGCCGGAAGGUUAAUUGAUGGGGUCAGCGCAAGCGAAGCUCUUGAUCGAAGCCCCGGUAAACGGCGGCCGUAACUAUAACGGUCCUAAGGUAGCGAAAUUCCUUGUCGGGUAAGUUCCGACCUGCACGAAUGGCGUAAUGAUGGCCAGGCUGUCUCCACCCGAGACUCAGUGAAAUUGAACUCGCUGUGAAGAUGCAGUGUACCCGCGGCAAGACGGAAAGACCCCGUGAACCUUUACUAUAGCUUGACACUGAACAUUGAGCCUUGAUGUGUAGGAUAGGUGGGAGGCUUUGAAGUGUGGACGCCAGUCUGCAUGGAGCCGGCCUUGAAAUACCACCCUUUAAUGUUUGAUGUUCUAACGUUGACCCGUGAUCCGGGUUGCGGACAGUGUCUGGUGGGUAGUUUGACUGGGGCGGUCUCCUCCUAAAGAGUAACGGAGGAGCACGAAGGUUGGCUAAUCCUGGUCGGACAUCAGGAGGUUAGUGCAAUGGCAUAAGCCAGCUUGACUGCGAGCGUGACGGCGCGAGCAGGUGCGAAAGCAGGUCAUAGUGAUCCGGUGGUUCUGAAUGGAAGGGCCAUCGCUCAACGGAUAAAAGGUACUCCGGGGAUAACAGGCUGAUACCGCCCAAGAGUUCAUAUCGACGGCGGUGUUUGGCACCUCGAUGUCGGCUCAUCACAUCCUGGGGCUGAAGUAGGUCCCAAGGGUAUGGCUGUUCGCCAUUUAAAGUGGUACGCGAGCUGGGUUUAGAACGUCGUGAGACAGUUCGGUCCCUAUCUGCCGUGGGCGCUGGAGAACUGAGGGGGGCUGCUCCUAGUACGAGAGGACCGGAGUGGACGCAUC
rnacentral:rRNA from 1 species